CAGUAGCCGCGGUAAUACGAAGGGUGCAAGCGUUACUCGGAAUUACUGGGCGUAAAGCGUGCGUAGGUGGUUGUUUAAGUCUGCUGUGAAAGCCCUGGGCUCAACCUGGGAAUUGCAGUGGAUACUGGGCGACUAGAGUAAGGUAGAGGAUAGUGGAAUUUCCGGUGUAGCAGUGAAAUGCGUAGAGAUCGGAAGGAACAUCUGUGGCGAAGGCGACUAUCUGGGCCAUUACUGACACUGAGGCACGAAAGCGUGGGGAGCAAACAGGAUUAGAUACCCCCGUAGUCCCUGUCUCUUAUAC
rnacentral:rRNA from 1 species